rnacentral:rRNA from 1 species
CAGCACCUCAAGUGGUCAGGAUGAUUAUUGGGCCUAAAGCAUCCGUAGCCGGCUCUGUAAGUUUUCGGUUAAAUCUGUACGCUCAACGUACAGGCUGCCGGGAAUACUGCAGAGCUAGGGAGUGGGAGAGGUAGACGGUACUCGGUAGGAAGGGGUAAAAUCCUUUGAUCUAUUGAUGACCACCUGUGGCGAAGGCGGUCUACCAGAACACGUCCGACGGUGAGGGAUGAAAGCCGGGGGAGCAAACCGGAUUAGAUACCCGUGUAGUCC